UACCAGCUGAGCCACAAGGGAAGCCCAAGAAUACUGGAGUGGGUAGCCUAUCCCUUCUCCAGUGGAUCUUGCCAACCCAGGAAUCGAACCAAGGUCUCCCACAUUGCAGGCUGAGAAGGUUGGACACACAUACCCUGAAUGCCCCUUGCUAUUAAAGGGGCCGCAGUUUUCUCCUUCCCCAGAGAAGGGCAUGGCCUCUCAGUCCAGUAUUGUUGCCUGGAGAAUCCCCAGGACAGAGGGACCUGAUGGGCUACAGUUCAUGGGGUCACAAAGAGUCGGACAAGACUGAAGCAACUUAGAAUGCGUGCAGUUUUCUCCUUGAUGCUGCUUUUGUCAAAUGUCACUGUCAUUGCUAUGCUGGCUUUACUGCACAGAGGCCAGAAUACAUUUGUCCCUAUCUGGUGUGGACUCAACACCUUAUUUACCAUAGGAGAGCCCUGUGGACACUAAAGUUGGAUGGCUUUUUUCAUCAAGUGCCAAGUCGCCCACCAGGCCCCUCGUCCAUGGGAUUCUCCAGGCAAGAAUACUGGACUGAAAAAUAAAAAAAAAGAAUACUGGAGUGGGUUGCCGUGACCUCCUCCAGGGGGUCGUCCUGACCCAGGGAUCGAACCUGGACUCGGACAUCUCCUGCAUCGGCAGGCGGGUUCUUGAGCACUAGCGCCCUGCCACCCGAGAAGCCUCUUUUUCAUUAAGGGGCCAAUUGUUUUUCAGUUCAGUCUCUGUUGCAAAGCCCAUCGAUGUGGACAUCAGUUCUCUGAGUUUGAGUCCUGGCCUGGCAGAAACCCUGGCCAGGCGGUAUCUAGGCCACACAGAGAGACAGACACUGUGCCCAGCUUUCCACCCAAGGGGUUCUAGAGCCGAGGCGCUGGUGCCUGAGGGGAACCUUCUCACCCAUAAGCCCCUCUGCUCUGUGGGCGGGUCUAGAACUUGGCCCCGCCUCCCGGUACCUAGCUGAUUGAGUGAGGGGGUGGCAUGUGACCUGCGCUACACCAAUCCAAGUGCUCUUCUGGCGAGGAACCGUUAAGACGCCAGUAGCCUCCGGCGCUGGGGCUUGUUGGCAGCGGCCUGUGGAGAGGGAGGAACGCCCUGCCACUGCUGGGGUCUUGGACGUCUCAACUAUUUUCCGACUCUUCUUCCAGUCAGCAUCCCAUUCCGGAUACCACAUUUGGCCAUCGUUUCUCGUUAGUCUCCUCCACGCUGAGAAUUCCUCAAGCUUUCUGGGUCUUUCCCAACGGUGACGGUUUUGGAGAUACUGCUCAGGUAUUUUAUACAAUGUCUGUCAGUUUGGGUUUGUCUGGUGUUUUCUUAGGAUUAGAUGAAAGUUACACAUUUUUGGCAAUAAUACCUGUUUUAUUGCCUCUCCUUCAUUCUAAUGGUGACGGAGUGAUUUCUACCACAGGGGUCUGGGGGUGGCUGCUGAACAUACACACCUGACACUGGACAGGUGCUACCCACAGCAGCUUCUCAGUAAUGUUCACUCACUGCCUGAGGGAAGAGGAUACUACUGGCUAGGUCGAGCCUCAGGGGAGUCAUGCUCUGGAAGAGAAUGCACAAGCAGGGCCGUGGGAGGUUAUCUGUGGUAACAAGAGAUGGUGGUGACCCUUGGUUCUCAAGGAAGGAUGUGAUUAGCUUGUUUGAAUACUUCUGUGGACUGGUGGGGAACCAAAACCUGACAGGGGCAAGCAGACACUGUGGCUGGUUCCUAUGAUAAGGCUGCUUUUGGGCUAGGGGAAUGCUUGCUCGGAGCCAAAAAGAGGGAUAGGAUUCUUCUCAGGCUUUUAUUCACUGCUUUUAAAAUUCAUCUGUUGGUUUGGCCUACAACAAAUAUGACUAAAAGGUGACUUUCUAUUUCCUUAUUCCUACCAUAUUUGUUCAUUGGAAAUCUGUAGAGCUGUCUUUUCUCCCUCAUAUUUUUAUAAAUUUUCUUUCUUUUUUUUUUAAUUUUAUUUUAUUUUUAAACUUUACAUAACUGUAUUAGUUUUGCCAAAUAUAAAAUUUUAUAGAAUGCAUUUCUAAUCAUCAAAUCAAAUAAGUAAUCAAAUUCUUUAUGUCAGUAUUGAGAUGUGAAUAACUUCGUUAUAUUGUGACUUAUAAUCAAAUUAUAUCAUUAUUUAGUUUCUUGCAUUUUUCCAGCUUUGGUGAUUAGGAACUCCUUGUGGGGUUUGUGUUCUUUGAGCAUGACGUGGUUCUUUUCUGUGUACUUCCUUGCCGGCAUUAUAAGGUAUUCCUGUUCAUCUUGUGCUUUUCUUUCCCCACCAUGACCCUGAAAUCAGAACACUUCUGCCAAAACCCAUGUUUCCUUUCCUUGGAAAAUGACAUUUAAUAACUGAUAUCUCCCUGCAUGUUCAUUGCUACUGGGGUUUCCUUGCAGCUAGGUCUUCCUUUUCCAUCGGUAAAUGAAGGAACUAUGUCGUCUGUAUAUACUUAUGCUCCCAGAUACAUUGGAAUUUCUCUAGAUAUUUCUGUAGAUAGUGAAAGCCAGGAGCUCACACUGGUACUUCUUUUUUUAAUUAAUUAAUUAAUUUUAAUUGGAGGAUAAUGAGUUUACAAUAUUGUGAUGGUUUAUGCGAUACAGCAACAAUCCACUCUAGUCUGAUUUGUAACGUCUUUGUCUCACCUGGCUCUCCUUAUCUUCAGUAUUUACUUAUUUGUUCACACCUGAUUGAUUAUACAUGAUGUGGUUACAGAAAUGCUACCAAAUGGUUAGAUAGUAUGACCGACCUAAUGGACAUGAAUUUGAGCAAACUCGAGGAGAUAGUGAAGGAUGGGGAGACCUGGUGUGCUACAGAGACCGGGAUCCCAAAAAGUCGGGUACAACUUAAUGACUGAGCACAAAACACGCACCUGUUAGAAGCAGAUCUGAUGACUUGUGUGUGUGUACACUUCUUUAUAUCUUAAGCCUCCAAGGAUGCAAUCAAAGUACUGUUUCCCCAAGUUGCUUAGCUUAGCUGUUUUCUUCCUCACUCCUUCUCUUGUGGUUAAGACAUUUAUUUGUAAUAUAUUUAGGUUAAUUUGUUGGUGUUUCGAAUUUGAGUUUGCCCUCUCCCCCCAUAUCCUAGUUCAUUUUAAUUUUUCACUUAAUCCUGGGGUAUGUGAAACACUACUGUGAUUCAGACUCAGGGCUGCACAAACACACAUACUGUAGGCGUAUGAUUCUUUCCCCAUGUCUUCCACCCGCUUCGCAUUCCCCAUUUCUUUUCCACAAUCCCCCUGUAGAUAACCAAUCUGGUUAUCUGGUUGAACCUUUCCUGGAUUUACUCUACACAAAUGAAUAGAUACAUACGGGUUUUCUUAUGUUCCAUUGUCUAUUAAAUGAAAGAUGGCAUUUUC